rnacentral:lncRNA from 1 species
CCUUCCCUAGGCUAAACUUUCUCCACUGGAUCAAUAGCAGGUGGUCAACAAAGACAAGAACACCACCUUCAGAAUGACCCAGAUCAUCCUCUUGGGUAGUCCUUUUUGGAUAUCUCUGUGAAAUUCUGCAGCUGAAAGCUGACACACAUAAUUAUUUCCUGUUAGAUACUGAAGAAAAAAAAAGCCCAGGAGAUAUUGUUGAGACUGUUUCUGGGGUGGGAUUGGGGGAUAGGAGAUGACCAUCCAGACCCACAGGAAAUGGGCAUUCUUGCUGAAAGUCAUGAAAGCAACUGAUUAUCUGCUAAGUGGAACUCCAGGGAGCGUGUUCAUCCUUACAUCUUACAUAGGAGGCGACUUUGCCAUCCAAUUAGUCCUAUUACCUUCUCACUGGAUCACAAAGGCAUUUAUGGGAACAAGUCAUUUUUUAAAGGAAGAGAGAAGUGCAUUUAACAUGAA